ACAUAUCAAUCUCUUCAGUGUUUUGCUUGUUGAGUAUUGGAUUUGUGGGGGUUGCUUAUGCUGGCUUUCUCUUAAAAGGUCAGCUCCCCUGAAAUGUAUUAGCGGAACAAUUUGUUGACCUGUUCAUUGGUGUGAUAAACUAUCUACGCUGUUGACCUGAGACAAGUUCAGCUUCUAACUCCAUUGACUUGGAUAAUUUUCUUUAAUA
rnacentral:misc_RNA from 1 species